rnacentral:rRNA from 1 species
GAUGAACGCUGGCGGCGUGCCUAAUACAUGCAAGUCGAGCGAACGGACGAGAAGCUUGCUUUUCUGAUGUUAGCGGCGGACGGGUGAGUAACACGUGGAUAACCUACCUAUAAGACUGGGAUAACUUCGGGAAACCGGAGCUAAUACCGGAUAAUAUUUUGAACCGCAUGGUUCAAAAGUGAAAGACGGUCUUGCUGUCACUUAUAGAUGGAUCCGCGCUGCAUUAGCUAGUUGGUAAGGUAACGGCUUACCAAGGCAACGAUGCAUAGCCGACCUGAGAGGGUGAUCGGCCACACUGGAACUGAGACACGGUCCAGACUCCUACGGGAGGCAGCAGUAGGGAAUCUUCCGCAAUGGGCGAAAGCCUGACGGAGCAACGCCGCGUGAGUGAUGAAGGUCUUCGGAUCGUAAAACUCUGUUAUUAGGGAAGAACAUAUUUGUAAGUAACUGUGCACAUCUUGACGGUACCUAAUCAGAAAGCCACGGCUAACUACGUG